rnacentral:rRNA from 1 species
UACGGAGGGAGCUAGCGUUGUUCGGAAUUACUGGGCGUAAAGCGCACGUAGGCGGCUUUGUAAGUUAGAGGUGAAAGCCCGGAGCUCAACUCCAGAACUGCCUUUAAGACUGCAUCGCUUGAAUCCAGGAGAGGAGAGUGGAAUUCCUAGUGUAGAGGUGAAAUUCGUAGAUAUUCGGAAGAACACCAGUGGCGAAGGCGGCUCACUGGACUAGUAUUGACGCUGAGGUGCGAAAGCGUGGGUAGCAAACAGG